rfam:Schistosoma mansoni, Puerto Rico, WGS project CABG01000000 data, contig: 0077
AUCCAGCUGACGAGUCCCAAAUAGGAAGAAACGCGCGCCAAACUGGAU